ACCCACUCAAAGCCCCUGGGGUAGUAGAUCCCUGUCUUUGGGUGUGGCACCCACAGUGCUGUCUCUGCUGACCUUGCUUUUGUUGGCUGCACCUGGCUCGUAAGUAUUGCAGGUUUAGAGGGAUGCUAGAGGCUACUUACCGGAGAAGACCAGUCGAUUUUGCAAUUGCACUGCGGCCCAUCAACAAAGGCUGGGGAGGCACUAAAAUCUGCUACUGUUUGUUCUUUCCUCCUUGGGGUCAAGCAACCGAUGGCAGUUCCCUCUUGGUUGGUACCUCUCUUCUCCCCAACCCUGGUAUAUAUAGCUAGAGUUUUCUAGUUGGAACUCUGCCACCAUGGUCAGGGUCACACGGACUGCACAUCUGAUAGGAUAUGAAUGAUUUGACAAGCUCCUGCAGAGGAUCAUGAACGAUUUUAUUCAUAGUCGUUGGCUUCUACUUGAGCAGAGGUUUGAGCUUGAUUGGACACCAUUGGACCAAACACCAUGAGAACUGAUGCUCCUAGAAUCUGAAGUCAAAUCUGGCCAAGUACUGUCCUAUGGCAGUACCGUAUCUACUUGGAGAAUCAUGAGACAGCCCUACUGGUGCUGGUUGUACCAGUAGGGAGAAGAGAUGGGAACACAGCUUGAAGAAAAGCAAUUACAGAAUUUCCGAGCUAAAAUCUCUGCUUGUCUGGUUGCAAAGGAUUUUGUCUGCCAUGAACUUAUUUUGAACUCCUUGAUACGCAUGAGAAGCAACCGACAUGUGGACCCCAGUGAUAGAUGGAGUCAGGCAGAUUAUACAUCUGUUGAGACUUCCUUUGCUGAUUUCGAGCCACACACUCUCAUGAGAUAUAUGUGUUUGCCUGCCUGCGGGAUAUUGUGCAGUCUGUGGCAUCCUUGCGCGUACGGUGUCUCAUGACCUGAUCCAUCUUCCCCAUAUAAUUUUUGUCUGCAUCAUUAAUGAUCCAUUAGCAGAAUAAUGGAGGGCAUGGGAUCUGAUACUUUGAAGCAUGCAUAGCUGUGGUGCAGAACUAAAGAUGAAGCAUUUCAGUUGCUUGUCUCUUCGUGCGGCGGAGUGGAGAGUAAGUUCUUCCCAUCAGAUUUGACAUUGGAGUCAUAGAGUGAUAGAGGGCAAGAAAAAGAGAAUAAGAUUUUUUUUCUCAUCGCUUGGAAGCUUGCGAUCCAAGCGAUGGGUCUGCCAUGGGUGAGUACGUUGUACAAGGUGGAAACCAUGGCGCACAAGACGAUGGGCGCCAUGGACGUCCUCCCUCGCUGACAAGGUCAGCACAGUCAACUGACAGGGUAAAUCUAGAGGCGCCCGGCUAGACAAAAAGGUUAAGGCUAGGAAGUGCGCCGCCGGACCGAGCCCCAUGCCCAUCUCGCAUGUCCGCAUUGGAGCUCUCUAUGCGCAAAUAUGCAGAACAACCUGACAAAAGUAUGAUACGCCCAGAACUAGGACUAAGUUUUGACUCCUUGAGCGAGGCAUAUGAUUUCUACAAUCUUUAUUCGUGGGAGGUUGGUUUUGGGAUUAGAUACGGGAAGAGCCGUCUGAAUGCGGAGAGAACGAAGAGCAUGCAGGAAAUUGUUUGUGGUUGCUCUGGGAAACCUAGCUGAGAACAACCGUUCUUGCAAAUGCGAGUGCCCGGCUCUGAUCAGGCUGUUGCGUGCGUCGGACAACAGCUGGUACAUCACGAAGCACCGUGAGAACCACAAUCACUCAAUGUCACUUACCAUGGGUGAGAAAGUAUACUGGCCCUCGCACAAACAUAUUGAUGUGUACACAAAGGAUUUGAUAAGGCAACUUAGGGAGAACAAUGUUAACCUUGGGAAAGUGUACAAUAUAAUUGGGAGCUUCUUUGGGUCAGUGGAGAAGGUACCGUUCACAAAAAGGACUCUCGGGAACAUAUGCGGCAAGAUUAGUCGUGAACAAGCAGACGAUGAUGUGCGGAAAACAUUGGAAGUAUUUGCGGAUAUCCGUUCCACCGACCUAGGUUUCACCUAUGUGGUACUGGCAGGCAAUUCCAGGAAGGUGAAGAACGACAUGUGGGCUAACGGAAGCAGUCGUAUGUAGUAUAAAUUCUUUGGUGAUGUGGUGACCUUCGACACGACGUACAGAACAAACCUCUGUGACAUGCCAUUUGGAUUAUUUGUGGGAGUUAACAAUCAUUACCAAAGUAUUAUUCUUGCUGGAGUGUUGAUGCGGGAUGAACAAGAAGAGAGCUUCAAGUGGGUGUUCAUAGAAUUUCUACGGUUGAUGGGUGGGCCUGCUGCAAAGACAAUAUUGACAGAUCAAUGCAGGGCCAUGGAGGUGGCAAUAAGGAAUACGCAUCCUCAGACAGUACACCGAUGGUGCAAGUGGCAUGUCCGGAAGAAAGCAAAGGAUACACUGGGUCCACUGUACACGAAGAAGAGCGACUUUCAGGCAGAGUUUCACAAGGCUGUGAACCACGUGCUUACUGAAGAUGAGUUUGAAGCAGGAUGGGCCAUGUUGCUGGACAAAUACAACCUCCGUAGCCACACUUACAUGACACAAAUUUAUGAAAUGAGGAGGAAGUGGGCGAAGCCGUACUUCAGAGGUGUGUUCUGCGCAAAAAUGACAAGCACUCAAAGAAGUGAGAGCGCAAACCACAUGCUGAAAAUGUACAUGCCCCAUGAGCCCUAUGCAUGUGCUCGUUAGGCAGUAUAUGAGGUUGCAGUUUGACAGAGAGCGUGAAGAGAGCUAUGAGGAAAAGAGGACCAUGAUUGGUGGUGUUGUGAGGAGGACCAACCUUGCAAUAGAGCGGCAUGCAAGCAAAAUAUACACAAGGAAUAUGUUUGAGGAAUUUGGUUGCCUAAUUGUUGAAGGAACAACCUAUAAUGUAAGUGAAGUGGAGAGGCUGAAGAGAUACAAGACAACACACAACAAUGCAGCCAAAAGAGAAAAGUGGAGCAAGGUUGAAUAUGAGGUGACCAUAAACGAAGACAAGUCAAUAUUCAGUUGCGAGUGUGGCCAGUUUGAGUACACUGGGAUGUUGUGCUCCCAUGUCCUGAGAGUUAUGUAGAUUUUGCAUCUGGAGGAGAUCCUGAAGCAUCAUAUUUUGAAACGAUGGAUAAGAGACGCCAGGGAUGUACUUCCAGAUCACCUUGUCCAAUAAGGACAACUCACUGAGCUUGUCAUUCACAUAUAGGCAUGCAACUUUGUAUUUGGAGGCAAUGGAAGUCAUGCACAUGGGGGAUGCUAGCGCUGCAUGUUAUGACCACGUCAAUGCUGGUCUCGAUGCUUUGCUGUUAAGUUCGGCACCACUAGCAGAGGUGAGGGACGGUUUGGCUUUCGAGGACCAACUGGCCGUAACGGCAGAUGCAAGGAAGGGUAAGGAAAUAGCAACUGCAAGUGCUGACCAUGACGCGGGGCAUAGCCAGAGUGCUGGCCAGUCUGCUAGCAUAAACAAACUUCAAGGGCUUGGUGCACCUAACAAGCAUAGAGGCGCUGGCAGGCCGACGAACAGUCGGGACAAAGCCACAUACGAAGGUUUAAGCAAGCGCACCAGAUUCUGUAGCAUCUGUCGGUGCGAAGGUCAUAAGAAGACCACGUGCCCGGAAAGGGGUGAUACACCAAAGAAACCACGAAAACCAGCAAAAUGCAAGAAUUGUAGGAUCGAAGGACACCGGCGGAACACUUGCAAGCGGCCGCUUGGUUUGGCUGAGCAAUGAGUUUUCUAUUUUACUGUAUAUUGUGAAAAAAUUUACCAGGGUAUUUUCUAGUGUGUUUCCUAUGUGGCACUGUUGCAUCCCUAAAAUCAAUCAUGCAUCAAACUGCUCUGUUUAUUGUUGUACCGUGAGAAUGGACAAAAGGUUUUUAUGCCACUGAACUAUGAUGAGGUUAAUGUGGAAUCCAUGCACCCUGGAUGGAAUUAGAGUAGCUGCAUAUGUGAUGUUAUUGUUAGAUCAUCAGGGAGGUUGUUAGAACGUGCAUUUUCCUAAACGAGAGGAUCAUUUACAUGCUCUAUGUUUUACUUUUGUGGGGUUCCUAUCUGUUGCGUUUCAUCGAUGUGUGUAUUGCUGACACAUGGACCUCACGCAUAGUCAGGAACACCCGAAACGGGGUGGUUUUUGUGCGCCAUUUUUAUUCAAAAUUCAAAAGGAUCAAGUAGAGAGAGUAAAUGCAGACGAAGGCCUGGGGCAAGACAGACGCAGUAUAAGAUACAGCUGGGGUGCCUGCUCGGCUACAUUGCUUCAGUUUCCCUCCUUUGCCACAGGUUCAAAUUUUUUUGAAAGUCCAGACUGCUUCACAAUGGCGAUGUCUUGGGAGCAAUCAACGGCGAGCGGCACAACCUGCUGCUCUGAUCGGCGUGAGAAAAUCAUCGUGAAAGAAUAUCAGACAACUUCAGCAAGCCUGGAUUCAGCGGCGAGCGCAUGGAGUACAACGGUGCUACCGGCGAGAAGACACGCUUGUUCGGGACAGGGUGAGGUGAUCCAGCAAGCUGACUGCCGUCGUGGAGACCUGAAGCAAGAAGUGGCGGAUCAGACAAAUGAAGUUGAUGAGGAGGAAGGGUUCGGUGAGUACGAUCCAGAUGAAUCCGCGCAUCCGGCAGGAAUCUCUAGUGAGAGCGGCUUGGAAAACAGAGCUGACGAACCCGAGGCGCGCGCAGCUGGAUUGGGUGGUGAUGAAGAUGAAGUGACAAGCUUGCCAGCUAAACGUCGACGCUUAGAGGACUAGUGCGCCAUGGGCUUCAAGCUCAACCGAUCAAUUAAGCUGCUAUUAUAGUUGGAUGAACACUUACCAUUCGGUCAGCAUAAGUUCAUGUUGAACUGUUUCCUGGCUAACCAUGUGUAGUGUCAUCCCUCCGUAUGAACUGCUGUCCUCACCAAACAUAAUAAUCUAGU